rnacentral:rRNA from 1 species
AUGAAUGUUGGUACAAUCAUGGAGUCGAAUGAUGCGACUUUCUUUGAGGAUAUUUUUCCUAUGAAGGAUAUGCCUAGCUCAUCUAGUCAGAGGUUAGAGACAACUCCUGCACCUACUGUUCCAUUGGAACAUUCCGAGAAGAAAUACACAUAUAUUCCCGAGGAUGGCAAUGAAACUUCUAGAAGGGGCAAGAGACAAAGGACCGCGAAAUCAUUUGGUGAAGAUUUCAUUGUGUAUCUCGUGAAUGAUACUCCCACUUCUAUUUCAGAAGCUUAUUCAUCUCCGGAUGCUGACUACUGGAAAGAAGCUGUGCAUAGUGAGAUGGAUUCCAUCAUGGCUAACGGGACAUGGGAGAUCACUGAUCGUCCUUAUGGGUGUAAACCUGUAGGGUGUAAGUGGGUGUUUAAGAAAAAGCUUAGGCCCGAUGGUACAAUUGAAAAGUACAAGGCGCGGCUUGUAGCCAAGGGAUAUACCCAAAAAGAAGGUGAAGAUUUCUUUGAUACUUAUGCGCCUGUGGCCAGAUUGACCACCAUUCGAGUACUACUCUCAUUGGCCGCCUCACACAAUCUUCUUGUCCAUCAAAUGGACGUUAAGACAACUUUCCUAAAUGAAGAGUUGGAGGAGGAAAUUUACAUGGAACAACCCGAUGGUUUUGUAGUAGAUGGUCAUGAAGGAAAAGUGUGUAAAUUGUUGAAAUCUUUGUAUGGUUUGAGACAAGCACCUAAGCAAUGGCACGAGAAGUUCGAAAGAACUUUGACUUCUACGGGCUUUGUUGCAAACGAAGCCGACAAGUGUGUGUACUAUCGCCAUGGUGGGGGCGAAGGAGUUAUAUUAUGUUUGUAUGUUGAUGACAUACUUAUAUUUGGAACAAAUAUCAAGGUCAUUCAGGAAUUGAAAGAUUUUCUGAAUCAAAACUUUGAGAUGAAAGACCUUGGAGUAGCUGAUGUUAUCUUGAACAUCAAGAUUUUAAGAGGUGGUGAUGGUGGGAUCACUCUCUUGCAGUCUCACUAUGUGGAGAAGAUUCUAGGUCGCUUUGGAUAUUUAGAUUGCAAACCUUCUCCGACACCUUAUGAUCCGAGUGUUUUGAUUCGGAAGAACGAAAGAGAAACAAAGGAUCAAUUGAGAUAUUCUCAAAUCAUUGGCUCGCUUAUGUAUUUAGCUAGUGCUACGAGGCCUGACAUCUCGUUUUCUGUGAGUAAACUAAGCCAGUUUGUUUCAAACCCGGGAGAUGUUCAUUGGCAUGCACUUGAGAGAAUAAUGCGCUAUCUGAAAGGUACUGCGAGUUAUGGGCUUCACUAUACCGGGUAUCCAAGAGUACUUGAAGGUUAUAGUGAUGCAAAUUGGAUAUCUGAUGCUGAUGAGCUUAAAGCGACAAGCAGUUAUGUGUUUACACUUGGUGGUGCUGCUGUUUCCUGGAAACACGUGAGAAGGAGACUGGAAUCUAUCAGGUUCAUGAGAAACUCCGGAAUUAUAGCGUUGGACUAUAUAAACACAUCGAAGAAUCUGGCAGAUCCCUUCACAAAGGGUUUAUCACGAAAUGUGAUAGACAAUGCAUCGAAGGAGAUGGGAUUGAGACCCACUACAUAA